rnacentral:lncRNA from 1 species
CUCAAGUCAUGUUCGAUAUCUAGUUAAGGGGUACAUUUAUCUCCAGUGUUCCCCGGGACCUUCCCUUUUGAUUUUCAAGAACAUUUUCUUCCCUCUGCCAGAGCAGUCCUUUCGAAUCAAAGGCUCGGCUUUUCCAAAGCGUAGUUUCUGAUGUGGGCUUCAGUGGACUGGCUGCGAAGUUCCUGAGACAAUGAGAGGGGAUGCUGGCUGUCUCUUUCUCUUUAUCUUCUCGCAGUAAAGUUCCAGUUCUCCUUGAGGUAAAGUGGAGCCUCUGAUUGACGCGAGGACGCCGGGAAAAUGAAAGCCAAAUUAUUAUUAUUUCAAGUUGUGUUCUUGCGGCGUUCCCGGAUGUCUGUGGUGACCCUCGUUUAUGUGAAGUCAACAAAACUGACCAGCACACCAUCUGAAUGCUACAGCGGGAUGGAGAUGGGAGGCGAAGCCUUGGAAGCUGGAGGGUGAAUAGCUGGUGUGCACAACCCCCUAGCAACGGGCAAACAAGGAGGAGUGUGGAAUGGGAGUCAGUGCUUAAUGGGCAUAAAGUUUCC